CAUUCUUGCUGCAAAAGAAGGCCAUUGUACCUCCUGACCCUGAAAGCAAGGGACACUGGAUUUUGUGGAUGCUCCUUGGACACACUGGAAUGCACCUUGGGCAGCCCGUGGAUCAUUUUCCCCAGUAUGAAGCAUGGGAGGAGCUGGAAAAUGAACUCAUGAGCCAGUUGAGCCAGCACAACAAGCUGGAGCCAGGAGUCUGGCUGGGCUAGCUUUUAUCUUGUGCUCCCUGGAACCCUGACUGGAUGAUUUCUGAAGUCGAGCUGGAGCCCAUCUAGAGGGAAGGUGAAACUUCUCCUCAGCAUGCAGGGCCUCCUGCACCCACACUGCCACAGCCACCGCAUUACCAGCUCCUGCCAGUCUGAGGAGCAAGAGGCUGGCAUGAAGAAUCAGUUCCAUUCUUUCCUCCCUAAAUUUAGAAAAAGCCUGUUUUGCAAAGCUUUCUUCAGUGUUUCAAGACAAAAAAAAAAAAAUUAAGCAGUUGCACAACAUGCAUAUCUUCUCCUGGCCUGCAGCUCCAGG
rnacentral:lncRNA from 1 species